rnacentral:rRNA from 1 species
GGACCGNCCANCUACGUGNCAGNNGCCNNNGUAAUACGUAGGNUCNNAGCGUUNUCNNGAAUUACUGGGCGUAAAGAGNUNGUAGGUNGUUUGUCGCGUNNUUCGUGAAAACUCACAGNUUAACUGUGGGCGUGCGGGCGAUACGGGCAGACUAGAGUACUGCAGGGGAGACUGGAAUUCCUGGUGUAGCGGUGGAAUGCGCAGAUAUCAGGAGGAACACCGGUGGCGAAGGNNNNUCUNUGGGCAGUAACUGACGNUGAGGAGNGAAAGCGUGGGUAGCGAACAGGAUUAGAUACCCUGGUAGUCCACGCCGUAAACGGUGGGUACUAGGUGUGGGUUUCCUUCCUUGGGAUCCGUGCCGUAGCUAACGCAUUAAGUACCCCGCNUGGGGAGUACGGUCGCAAGACUAAAACUCAAAGGAAUUGACGGGGGCCCGCACAAGCGGCGGAGCAUGUGGAUUAAUUCGAUGCAACGCGAAGAACCUUACCUGGGUUUGACAUGCACAGGACGUACCUAGAGAUAGGUAUUCCCUUGUGGCCUGUGUGCAGGUGGUGCAUGGCUGUCGUCAGCUNNNNUNGUGAGAUGUUGGGUUAAGUCCCGCAACGAGCGCAACCCUUGUCCUAUGUUGCCAGCGGGUAAUGCCGGGGACUCGUAGGAGACUGCCGGGGUCAACUCGGAGGAAGGUGGGGAUGACGUCAAGUCAUCAUGCCCCUUAUGUCCAGGGCUUCACACAUGNUACAAUGGCCAGUACAGAGGGCUGCGAAGCCGUAAGGUGGAGCGAAUCCCUUAAAGCUGGUCUCAGUUCGGAUUGGGGUCUGCAACUCGACCCCAUGAAGUNGGAGUCGCUAGUAAUCGCAGAUCAGCAACGCUGCGGUGAAUACGUUCCCGGGCCUUGUACACACCGCCCGUCACCGUCAUGAAAGUCGNNNACACCCGAAGCCAGNGGCCUA